ensembl:snRNA U6 U6 spliceosomal RNA
GUGCUUGCUUCAGCAGCACAUAUACUGAAAUUGGAACAAUAUGGAGAAGAUUAGCAUGGACCCCGUGCAAAAAUGACACACACAUUUGUGAAGUGUCCCAUAUUUAA